UGUGGUUCCAUCCCUGCCGGUCCGUGUGUCCAUCCCUGCCCGUGUCCAUCCCUGGCCGUGUCUGUGUGUCCAUCCCUGCCCAUGUCCGUGUGUCCAUCCCUGCCCGUGUCCGUGUGUCCAUCCCCAGCUGUGUCCGUGUGUCCAUCCCUGCCCGUGUCCGUGUGUCCAUCCCAGCCCGUGUCUGUGUGUCCAUCCCAGCCGUGUCCAUGUGUCCAUCCCUGCCCGUGUCCGUGUGUCCAUCCCUGCCCGUGUCCAUCCCCGCCCGUGUCCAUGUGUCCAUCCCCGCCCGUGUCCGUGUGUCCAUCCCCAGCCAUGUCCGUGUGUCCAUCCCUGCCCAUGUCCGUGUGUCCAUCCCUGCCCGUGUCCGUGUGUCCAUCCCUGCCCGUGUCCGUGUGUCCAUCCCUGGCCGUGUCCAUGUGUCCAUCCCAGCCCAUGUCCAUGUGUCCAUCCCUUCCCAUGUCCGUGUGUCCAUCCCCAGCCAUGUCCGUGUGUCCAUCCCCACCCGUGUCCGUGUGUCCAUCCCCGCCCAUAUCCGUGUGUCCAUCCCUGCCCGUGUCCGUGUGUCCAUCCCUGCCCAUGUCUGUCUGUCCAUCCCACCCGUGUCCGUGUGUCCAUCCCCGGCCGUGUCUGUGUGUCCAUCCCCGGCCAUGUCCGUGUGUCCAUCCCCACCCGUGUCCAUGUGUCCAUCCUGCCUGUGUCCAUGUGUCCAUCCCCGCCCGUGUCCGUGUGUCCAUCCCUGGCCGUGUCCGUGUGUCCAUCCCUGCCCGUGUCCCUGUGUCCAUCCCUGGCUGUGUCUGUGUGUCCAUCCCCGGCCAUGUCCAUCCCCGCCCAUGUGUGUGUCCAUCCCCGUCCAUGUGUCCAUCCCUGCCCGUAUCCAUGUGUCCAUCCAGCCCGUGUCCGUGUGUCCAUCCCCACCCGUGUCCGUGUGUCCAUCCCCACCGUGUCCGUGUGUCCAUCCUUGGCUGUGUCCGUGUGUCCAUCCCACCCGUGUCUGUGUGUCCAUCCCUGCCCGUGUCUGUGUGUCCAUCCCUGCCCGUGUCCAUCUGUCCAUCCCCGCCCGUGUCCGUGUGUCCAUCCCUGCCCAUGUCUGUGUGUCCAUCCCUGGCCAUGUCCGUGUGUCCAUCCCUGGCCAUGUCCGUGUGUCCAUCCCUGCCCAUGUGUCCAUCCCAGCCCAUGUCUGUGUGUCCAUCUUCACCCAUGUCCAUGUGUCCAUCCCCGCCCGUGUCCGUGUGUCCAUCCCUGUCCGUCUGUCCAUUCCUGUCCGUGUCCGUGUGUCCAUCCUUAGCCGUGUCCAUCCCCGCCCAUGUCCGUGUGUCCAUCCCCACCCGUGUCCAUGUGUCCAUCCCUGCCCAUGUGUCCAUCCCUGCCCGUGUCCGUGUGUCCAUCCCCGCCCGUGUCCGUGUGUCCAUCCCUGCCCGUGUCCGUGUGUCCAUCCCGGCCCAUGUCCGUGUGUCCAUCCCUGCCAUAUCUGUCUGUCCAUCCCUGCCCGUGUCCGUGUGUCCAUCCCGCCCAUGUCCGUGUGUCCAUCCCCUCCGUGUCCGUGUGUCCAUCCCUGCCCGUCUGUCCAUCCCUGCCCGUGUCCGUGUGUCCAUCCCUGCCAUGUCCGUGUGUCCAUCCCUUCCCGUGUCCGUGUGUCCAUCCCUGGCCAUGUCCGUGUGUCCAUCCCCGCCCGUGUCCAUGUGUCCAUCCCCGCCCGUGUCCGUGUGUCCAUCCCUGCCCGUGUCCGUGUGUCCAUCCCUGCCCGUGUCCGUGUGUCCAUCCCUGGCCAUGUCCCUGUGUCCAUCCCUGUCCGUGUCCGUGUGUCCAUCCCUGCCCAUGUCCAUGUGUCCAUCCCUGCCCGUGUCCGUGUGUCCAUCCCCGCCCGUGUCCGUGUGUCCAUCCCUGCCCGUGUCUGUGUGUCCAUCCCCACCCAUGUCCAUCCCUGUCCGUGUCCGUGUGUCCAUCCCCAGCCGUGUCCAUCUGUCCAUCCCCGGCUGUAUCCGUGUGUCCAUCCCCACCCGUGUCCGUGUGUCCAUCCCUGUCCGUGUCCGUGUGUCCAUCCCCACCCGUGUCUGUGUGUCCAUCCCUGACUGUGUCCGUGUGUCCAUCCCUGCCCGUGUCCGUGUGUCCAUCCCGCCGUGUCCGUGUUCCAUCCCUGUCCGUGUGUCCAUCCCCACCCGUGUCCGUGUGUCCAUCCCUGACUGUGUCUGUGUGUCCAUCCCGCCCGUGUCUGUCUGUCCAUCCCCACCCGUGUCCGUGUGUCCAUCCCUGCCCAUGUCCGUCUGUCCAUCCCCACCCGUGUCCAUCUGUCCCAGGCGUGUUUCCUCCGUGCGUGGCUCAGCUCCUCUCACCUGGGCCAUGCCGAGUGCCGGGCGUGGCUGGAGCGGUGGCUCCGUCUCUCCUGUGAGCUCCAAGCCUCGGAGGUCUCCUGCUGGCCCACAGCAUGGUCCUGCUGGCCCUCAACGCCGGGCAGCCCCCGGAGUGACACUCCCCGAGCACCCAGCCCUGCUGGGCACCCCUGGGUGCCCCUGCGUGCCCGCCCUGCGCCCACCGACCCUCCUGCAGAGCCGCGGGCACGGCCACGAGAGCUGGAGUUCCUGUGCCAGUAAUUAACUGCAGCGCGUUAAUUGGGGCAGAGCGAGCGGCUCCCUGAGCUGGGAUGGUCCUGUGGGAUCUGCUGGAUGUUCCCCUGGGACUCUUUGGGAUGUUCCUGUUUUGGGAUCUUCGGAUGUUCCCGUUUUGGGAUGUUCCCCUGGGAUCUUUGGAAUGUUCUGUUUUUGGGAUGUUCCCUGGGGAUCUUGGGAUGUCCUGUGGGAUCUUCGAGAUGUUCCCGUGGGAUCUUUGGGACGUUCCUGUUGGGAUCUUGGGAUGUUCCCGUUUUGGGAUGGUCCUGUUGGAUCUGCUGGAUGUUCCCAUGGGAUCUUUGGGAUGUUCCUGUAGGAUCUUUCUUCAGGAUGUUCCUGUGGGAUAUUUGAGAUGUUCCUUUGAGAUCUUUGGGAUGUUCCCAUGGACCUUUGGGAUGUUCCUGUGGAUAUUGGGAUGUUCCUUUGAGAUCUUUGGGAUGUUCCCGUGGGACCUUUGGGAUAUUCCUGUGGGAUUUUUGGGAUGUUCCUGUGGGACCUUUGGGAUAUUCCUGUGGGAUAUUUGGGAUGUUCCUUUGAGAUCUUUGGGAUGUUCCUGUGGGAUCUGCUGGAUGUUCCUGUGGGACCUUUGGGAUGUUCCUGUGGGAUCUUUGGGAUAUUCCUGUGGGAUAUUUGGGAUGUUUCCUGUUUGGGAUGUUCCCUGUGGAUCUGCUGGAUGUUCCCUGGGAUCUUCGGGAUGUUCCUGUUUGGGAUGGUCCUGUGGGGGUCUUUGGAUGUUCGCGUGUGGGAUCUUUGUUUGGGAUUUCCUGUAGAUCUUUGGGAUGUUCCUGUGGGAUAUUUGAGAUGUUCCUUUGAGAUCGUUGGGGAAUGUUCUGUGGGAUAUUGGGGAUAUUUCCGUAGAUCUUUAUUUCUUUGGAUGUUCCCAUGGGAUCUUGGGAUGUUCCUGUUUUGGGAUCUUUGGGAUGGUUCCUGAUUUGGGAUGUUCCCGUGGACCUUUGGGAUGUUCCCGUGGGAUAUUUGGGAUGUUCCUUUGAGAUCUUUGGAUGUUCUGUGGGAUAUUUGGGAUGUUCCUGUAGGAUCUUUCUUCCAGGAUGUUCCUGUAGGAUCUUUGGAAUGUGUCUUCUGGGAUCUUUGGGGUUCCUGUGGGAUCUCCUGGGAGGUUUUGGGGUUCUGGGGUGGCUGGAGGGGCGUGGAGCCCACGGGGAGGCCGGGAAGGGCCGGGUGUGGGGGUCCCAGGACUGCACCCCCAAUUCAGCCUCGUCGAAGCCCCUUUGACCUUCCCCCUGCAUUUCCCCCCAUGGGGAUUUUGGGGGUUCCACUUUACCCCCCCUGCCUGAGGAAUUCCUGCUGCAGAGGGAAUUCACCCCAAAACGGGCCGGCUUUGUCCACAGGAUGUUGGUGGCCCCGGGGUUUUGGGGGUGACUCUGGUGCCCCACAAGGGACACGCUGCACAGGUGGCCAUGGGACACCUGCAAAUUUCCUUUUUGAAGCAUUUUUGGGUAUAAAGGGUGGGAGCCACCCCUUUCCUCACCCUUCCUGCUGCUUUUGGGGAUUUCAGAGCCCCCCUUGAAGGAAUUCACCACUGGGGAAUGUUUAACCCCUUUUUCAGCCACGACUCACAUCUAAUUUAACCAUUUGUUUUUCUUUUUCCACUUAAAUAUUCCCCUUAAAUACAGCAUUAUCAGGAAAAAGGAGCCAUUAUGAACGUGCCCAUUAUUCCCGGGCACGGCUGAGGAAAAAAAAAAUUGUAACGUUGAAUGAGAAGCUUUGGAAUCACAAAAUUUGUGAAAAUAAAACAAAAAUCCAGUGGGAGCUUGGAGGAAUUGAAGGGGACAUUGG
rnacentral:lncRNA from 1 species